rnacentral:rRNA from 1 species
AACGAACGCUGGCGGCAGGCCUAACACAUGCAAGUCGAGCGCAUCCUUCGGGGUGAGCGGCGGACGGGUUAGUAACGCGUGGGAACGUGCCCUUUUCUUCGGAAUAGCUUCGGGAAACUGAAGGUAAUACCGGAUACGCCCUAUUGGGGAAAGAUUUAUCGGAGAAGGAUCAGCCCGCGUCUGAUUAGGUAGUUGGUGGGGUAAUGGCCUACCAAGCCUACGAUCAGCAGCUGGUUUGAGAGGAUGAUCAGCAACACUGGGACUGAGACACGGCCCAGACUCCUACGGGAGGCAGCAGUGGGGAAUCUUAGACAAUGGGCGCAAGCCUGAUCUAGCCAUGCCGCGUGAGUGAUGAAGGCCUUGGGGUCGUAAAGCUCUUUCGCUGGGGAAGAUAAUGACGGUACCCAGUAAAGAAACCCCGGCUAACUCCGUGCCAGCAGCCGCGGUAAUAC